GAUGAACGCUGGCGGCGUGCUUAACACAUGCAAGUCGAACGGAAAGGCCCAAGCUUGCUUGGGUACUCGAGUGGCGAACGGGUGAGUAACACGUGGGUGAUCUGCCCUGCACUUCGGGAUAAGCCUGGGAAACUGGGUCUAAUACCGGAUAGGACCACAUUUUGGAUGGUGUGGUGGAAAGUUUUUCGGUGUGGGAUGAGCUCGCGGCCUAUCAGCUUGUUGGUGGGGUAAUGGCCUACCAAGGCGUCGACGGGUAGCCGGCCUGAGAGGGUGUACGGCCACAUUGGGACUGGGAUACGGCCCAGACUCCUACGGGAGGCAGCAGUGGGGAAUAUUGCACAAUGGGCGCAAGCCUGAUGCAGCGACGCCGCGUGGGGGAUGACGGCCUUCGGGUUGUAAACUCCUUUCGCUAGGGACGAAGCGUUAUGUGACGGUACCUGGAGAAGAAGCACCGGCUAACUACGUG
rnacentral:rRNA from 1 species